AACGCGAAGAACCUUACCUGGGCUUGAACUACUGGUAGUAAGCCUUUGGAAACAUAGGCUGAUCCGCAAGGAAGCCAGCAGAGGUGCUGCAUGGUUGUCGUCAGCUCGUGUCGUGAGAUGUUGGGUUAAGUCCCGCAACGAGCGCAACCCCUAUCUCAUGUUGCUAUUCCCGCAAGGGAAGCACUCUUGAGAAACUGCCUUCGAUAAGAAGGAGGAAGGUGGGGACGACGUCAAAUCCUCAUGGCCCUUAUGUCCAGGGCUACACACGUGCUACAAUGGCCGGUACAACGGGAAGCAAUACCGUAAGGUGGAGCCAAACCCUGAAAGCCGGCCUCAGUUCAGAUUGUGGGCUGCAACUCGCCCACAUGAAGGCGGAAUCGCUAGUAAUCGCGAAUCAGCAGGUCGCGGUGAAUACGUUCCCGGGCCUUGUA
rnacentral:rRNA from 1 species